rnacentral:tRNA from 1 species
GAGGGCAUAUCUCAGUGGUAGAGCACAUGCUUAGCGUGCAUGAGGUCCGGGGUUCUAUCCCCAGUACUUCCG